UACGGGGGGGGCAAGCGUUGUUCGGAAUUACUGGGCGUAAAGGGCGCGUAGGCGGCCUUCUAAGUCGGACGUGAAAUCCCUCGGCUUAACCGAGGAACUGCGUCCGAUACUGAAAGGCUUGAAUCCGGGAGAGGGAUGUGGAAUUCCAGGUGUAGCGGUGAAAUGCGUAGAUAUCUGGAGGAACACCGGUGGCGAAGGCGGCAUCCUGGACCGACACUGACACUGAGGAGCGAAAGCCAGGGGAGCAAACGGG
rnacentral:rRNA from 1 species